rnacentral:tRNA from 2 species
GGGUGCAUAGCUCAGUUGGUAGAGCAACGCCCUUACAAGGCGUGGGUCAGGAGUUCGAGUCUCUUUGCACCCACCA